UACAGAGGGGGCGAGCGUUGUUCGGAGUUACUGGGCGUAAAGGGCGCGUAGGCGGCCUUCUAAGUCGAACGUGAAAUCCCCGGGCUCAACCCGGGAACUGCGUCCGAUACUGGGAGGCUUGAAUCCGGGAGAGGGAUGUGGAAUUCCAGGUGUAGCGGUGAAAUGCGUAGAUAUCUGGAGGAACACCGGUGGCGAAGGCGGCAUCCUGGACCGGUAUUGACGCUGAGGCGCGAAAGCCAGGGGAGCAAACGGG
rnacentral:rRNA from 1 species